rnacentral:lncRNA from 1 species
AAAAGCUUCCCAAGGCGCCAACCUUCAAGAUUUAAAGGGAAGUAGGGCUGAUUUAGCUCUGUUCUGGUUCUGUUUCUGCUCAGCAUUCUCAGGUCUAAGAUUCCUGGGUUGGCUUCUGAGAGGGAGGAGACAGCCACCACAGCAAGAACAGCACCAGGAGUUUUAGAUUAAAAAUGGAAAGCAGAGAGUAGGGGAUGAGGCCUGUGGGCUGAGGACUGCCUGGCUCAGAACGGUGGAGGGAGAAGGUCAAGAGGAGGAGGGGAGCCAUCAGAGCUAACUGCCCGUCACCUGCUUGCCUUCAGAAGAUGUGCCUUCCGGGACCUGGUGGAGAGCAGAUGCCAGUGAGGUGCCUGUGGAGAGAAGGAAGCGUUUUCAUGUUCAGCCACACUUCUGCGGUCAUGCAAUUGGGCUCCAGGUGUGUGGCUGUACUGUCUCCACUCCCUGGUGAUUGGAGGAGGCUGAUCACAGUAUGGUGACACCACAUUGGAGAUGUGGCAGCUGGAUCAUCUCAGGUGAAAAUCCAUUGCCCAUCCACAAUGGAC